GAUGAACGCUGGCGGCGUGCCUAAUACAUGCAAGUCGAACGAGUUUUGGUCGAUGAACGGUGCUUGCAUCGUGAUUCAACUUAAAACGAGUGGCGGACGGGUGAGUAACACGUGGGUAACCUGCCCUUAAGUGGGGGACAACAUUUGGAAACAGAUGCUAAUACCGCAUAAAUCCAAGAACCGCAUGGUUCUUGGCUGAAAGAUGGCGUAAGCUAUCGCUUUUGGAUGGACCCGCGGCGUAUUAGCUAGUUGGUGAGGUAACGGCUCACCAAGGCCAUGAUACGUAGCCGAACUGAGAGGUUGAUCGGCCACAUUGGGACUGAGACACGGCCCAAACUCCUACGGGAGGCAGCAGUAGGGAAUCUUCCACAAUGGACGCAAGUCUGAUGGAGCAACGCCGCGUGAGUGAAGAAGGCUUUCGGGUCGUAAAACUCUGUUGUUGGAGAAGAAUGGUCGGCAGAGUAACUGUUGUCGGCGUGACGGUAUCCAACCAGAAAGCCACGGCUAACUACGUGCCAGCAGCCGCGGUAAUACGUAGGUGGCAAGCGUUAUCCGGAUUUAUUGGGCGUAAAGCGAGCGCAGGCGGUUUUUUAAGUCUGAUGUGAAAGCCCUCGGCUUAACCGAGGAAGCGCAUCGGAAACUGGGAAACUUGAGUGCAGAAGAGGACAGUGGAACUCCAUGUGUAGCGGUGAAAUGCGUAGAUAUAUGGAAGAACACCAGUGGCGAAGGCGGCUGUCUGGUCUGUAACUGACGCUGAGGCUCGAAAGCAUGGGUAGCGAACAGG
rnacentral:rRNA from 2 species